UACGUAGGGUGCAAGCGUUAAUCGGAAUUACUGGGCGUAAAGCGUGCGCAGGCGGUUAUGUAAGACAGAGGUGAAAUCCCCGGGCUCAACCUGGGAACGGCCUUUGUGACUGCAUAGCUAGAGUACGGUAGAGGGGGAUGGAAUUCCGCGUGUAGCAGUGAAAUGCGUAGAUAUGCGGAGGAACACCAGUGGCGAAGGCGAUCUGCUAGGCCUGACCUGACACUCAGACGCGACAGCGUGGGGAGCGAACAGG
rnacentral:rRNA from 1 species